GAUGAACGCUGGCGGCGUGCCUAAUACAUGCAAGUCGAGCGAACGGACGAGAAGCUUGCUCUUCUGAUGUUAGCGGCGGACGGGUGAGUAACACGUGGAUAACCUACCUAUAAGACUGGGAUAACUUCGGGAAACCGGAGCUGAUACCGGAUAAUAUUUUGAACCGCAUGGAUCAAAAGUGAAUGACGGUCUUGCUGUCACAUAUAGAUGGAGCCGCGCUGCAUUAGCUAGUUGGUAAGGUAACGGCUUACCAAGGCAACGAUGCAUAGCCGACCUGAGAGGGUGAUCGGCCACACUGGAACUGAGACACGGUCCAGACUCCUACGGGAGGCAGCAGUAGGGAAUCUUCCGCAAUGGGCGAAAGCCUGACGGAGCAACGCCGCGUGAGUGAUGAAGGUCUUCGGAUCGUAAAACUCUGUUAUUAGGGAAGAACAUAUGUGUAAGUAACUGUGCACAUCUUGACGGUACCUAAUCAGAAAGCCCCGGCUAACUACGUG
rnacentral:rRNA from 1 species